rnacentral:rRNA from 1 species
CCUACGGGGUGCUGCAGUGAGGAAUAUUGGUCAAUGGGCGGGAGCCUGAACCAGCCAAGUCGCGUGAGGGAAGACGGUCCUAUGGAUUGUAAACCUCUUUAGGCGGGGAGCAAUGCAGGGCACGCGUGCCCGGAGGGAGAGUACCCGCAGAAUAAGCAUCGGCUAACUCCGUGCCAGCAGCCGCGGUAAGACGGAGGAUGCGCGCGUUAUCCGGAUUUAUUGGGUGUAAAGGUUGCGGAGGCGUAUUUUUAAGUCAGCGGUAAAAUGUCCGGGCUCAACCCGGGCCGGCCGUUGAAACUGGGGAGCUUGAGUGGGCGAGAAGUAUGCGGAAUGCGUGGUGUAGCGGUGAAAUGCAUAGAUAUCACGCAGAACUCCGAUUGCGAAGGCAGCAUACCGGCGCCCGACUGACGCUGAGGCACGAAAGCGUGGGGAUCGAACAGGAUUAGAUACCCCGGUAGUC